UACGUAGGGACCAAGCGUUGUUCGGAUUUACUGGGCGUAAAGGGCGCGUAGGCGGCAUGACAAGUCACUUGUGAAAUCUCCGGGCUUAACUCGGAACGGCCAAGUGAUACUGUCAAGCUAGAGUGCAGAAAGGGCAAUCGGAAUUCUUGGUGUAGCGGUGAAAUGCGUAGAUAUCAAGAGGAACACCUAAGGCGAAGGCGGGUUGCUAGGCUGACACUGACGCUGACAGCGCGAAAGCCAGGGGAGCAAACGGG
rnacentral:rRNA from 1 species